rnacentral:rRNA from 1 species
AUUGAACGCUGGCGGCAGGCCUAACACAUGCAAGUCGAGCGGCAGCGGGAAAGUAGCUUGCUACUUUUGCCGGCGAGCGGCGGACGGGUGAGUAAUGCCUGGGAAAUUGCCCAGUCGAGGGGGAUAACAGUUGGAAACGAUUGCUAAUACCGCAUACGCCCUACGGGGGAAAGCAGGGGACCUUCGGGCCUUGCGCGAUUGGAUAUGCCCAGGUGGGAUUAGCUAGUUGGUGAGGUAAUGGCUCACCAAGGCGACGAUCCCUAGCUGGUCUGGGAGGAUGAUCAGCCACACUGGAACUGAGACACGGGCCGGACUCCUACGGGAGGCAGCAGUGGGGAAUAUUGCACAAUGGGGGAAACCCUGAUGCAGCCAUGCCGCGUGUGUGAAGAAGGCCUUCGGGUUGUAAAGCACUUUCAGCGAGGAGGAAAGGUUGAUGCCUAAUACGUAUCAACUGUGACGUUACUCGCAGAAGAAGCACCGGCUAACUCCGUGCCAGCAGCCGCUGUAACAC